UAAUGCCGGAUGCUCCAGUUGAUCGCAUGGUCUUCUGGGAAAGCUUUCGCGGUAUGGGAUGGGGUCGCGUCCUAUCAGCUUGACGGCGGGGUAACGGCCCACCGUGGCUUCGACGGGUAGCCGGCCUGAGAGGGCGACCGGCCACAUUGGGACUGAGAUACGGCCCAGACUCCUACGGGAGGCAGCAGUGGGGAAUAUUGCACAAUGGGCGCAAGCCUGAUGCAGCGACGCCGCGUGAGGGAUGGAGGCCUUCGGGUUGUAAACCUCUUUUAUCGGGGAGCAAGCGUGAGUGAGUUUACCCGUUGAAUAAGCACCGGCUAACUACGUGCCAGCAGCCGCGGUAAUACGUAGGGUGCAAGCGUUAUCCGGAAUUAUUGGGCGUAAAGGGCUCGUAGGCGGUUCGUCGCGUCCGGUGUGAAAGUCCAUCGCUUAACGGUGGAUCCGCGCCGGGUACGGGCGGGCUUGAGUGCGGUAGGGGAGACUGGAAUUCCCGGUGUAACGGUGGAAUGUGUAGAUAUC
rnacentral:rRNA from 1 species